UACGGGAGGCAGCAGUGGGGAAUAUUGGGCAAUGGGCGAAAGCCUGACCCAGCAACGCCGCGUGAAGGAAGAAGGUCUUCGGAUUGUAAACUUCUUUUAUGAGGGACGAAGGACGUGACGGUACCUCAUGAAUAAGUCACGGCUAACUACGUGCCAGCAGCCGCGGUAAU
rnacentral:rRNA from 1 species